rnacentral:lncRNA from 1 species
UGGAGCGGCGGCAGCUGGUGGCCGGACGGCGGCGGGAGGACGGCCGGAAGUCUGCUGGGUGUAGAGAGAAAAAACUCGGGUGGGAAGAGAAGAAAAAUCGGGAGGAAGAGAGAGAGAAAGGAAGAAGAAAUGGGUUGGGCUCGGCCCAGCAGACCCAACUCUCCUUUUAAUCCAAAAUUCAACACCCCGAAAAAUAAUACCCGAAUAAAAAUUACCUUUUACUAGCUAAAAUUUACUAUUUUUACCGUCGUCGUAUUUUCUUCAUACUAAUAAUCCUCCGCACAUAAUCGUCCCCGAAACCCCUCUAGGGACCAAUUAAACUAUUUACUCAAUGACGGAGACGGUAAAAUUCUUAUUAUAAUCACGCUAGUAAAUAAGGUAAAAAUAUAAGGGUCGGGAUGUGACACAUAUUAUUCUCAUAAUCAUCCAAAUAUGGAUAUAUAUACAUACUCACCGAAAAUCUCAAAAAUAAUAAAAAUUGCCAAUUGCAAUUGCAAAAGAAGCAAUAAAUAUAUGGCUACACCGAAAAUCUCAUUUCCGGUAACUUUCCAAAUAGCGAAGUUAACAAAAAUAAAAUUAGAGCAUUUACUUUCAAAAAUAACUUCGCGAAAAUAAAAAAUUCCACAAAUUGAUAUUCAAUAAAAUCAUUCAUUUAAAAUGAAAUCACCGCAUGCUUAUAAUUUAAAACGAACGUCCACUCACAACUUUAGGCCUAGGCCUGACGUCAAUCCGAGGUCUCUCCAAUUCGAGCCUCCUCACGUCCUGUUCCAAAUAUAUAAUUAAUUACCCACUAAAAAUCCAAUAAUUAAACAAAAUGGGCAAAAUUAAACGUGAGCCUCCCACACACUCAUUAUUGCCCAACUUCGCCAUUCUUAACUCAAAAUGGCUCAAACUUCACUGAACAUACCGGCAGCCCUAAUUACAACUUCCCCCAGAAAAUGACUUAAAUCUACGGCCGGAUUUUACAUUAUUCAACCGCCAAAAUACCACACUUCAGAAAUUCAUAACCCUAUCCAAAACUCAUCCAAAAAAUUCCAUAAUUCACUUCAAUAAACUCCCCUUAAUAUUCCAAAUUUAAAAACAUUAAAAUCUCCCAACCGGCGCUGGCGCCGGCAGCGGCGGCCGGAGGCCGAUUCCGGCGACCUCCAAUGCCCACCAAAUUUUAACAGCAGAUUCUUCUCCACUCCCUCUACAACUUUCCUAACUAGCACAAACACAAAAUCCAAGCCUAGCUAGGGUAAUCGAACACAAACACCUAAAAAGCCCUAGGAUUUCAACUUCGAAUUUCUCCUUACCUAGCUCAAGAGGGAGUGAGCCCUUUGGAUGGAUUGAUGCACGGGAGGAGAGCUUCACAACGAGCCAAGACUUGCCGGCUAUGGCGGCCGGAGGAGGGAGCUCCGGCGAAUGGAGCAACCGGCUGCUAGGGGAGUUUCCUCCCCAUUCAGCGGCGUAACCGGCCCGGUCACCAACCCAGGCGAGGAGAGGAGGCGGCGGCAGUCCGACCGGGACCGGUGCGGCGACCUGGCUUGGCCGGACGGCGUUGGCGGGCGGAGGAUUCCGGCAGAGGAGGAGAGAGCUCGGGAGGGGAAGGAAAAUAAAAGAGAGAAGAAGAAAAAAAGAGGAGAAGAAGAGAAGAAAAGAGGAAAUAAAAAUGGGGUUUGGGCCUCACUCACCAACCCGGCCAAACACCACAAAUAUUACCCAACUCUACCAAUUUAACACCCCAAAACAAAAUACUCUAAUAAAAAUUAUCUUUUACUAGCUAAAAUUUACCAAUUUUUACCGUCGUCAUAUUUUUCUCUUACGAAUAAUUGUCCCUUAAAACCCCUCUAGGGACUAAUUAAAACUAUAAACUCAUUGACGGAGACGGUAAAAUUCUUAUUAUAACCAAGCUAGUAAAUAAGGUAAAAAUUUAUGGGUUGGGAUGUGACAAAAAGUAAGUCCAGUAAGGUGAAGAAAAAUAUAAUUUCGUCCCCAAAGUAAUUUGUUGCAUGACAAAAUAAAUUUUGGUGGCGAAACAUAUUUUCGUCACCUACCCUAUCACUUACAUGACAAAAUGUAUUUUCGUCACCUAAGUGCUCAAAAUUUUGGUGACAAAAAUAUAUUUCGUCACCUACCCUAUCACUUACAUGACGAAAUAUAUUUCGUCACCUACCCUAUCACUUACAUGACGAAGUGUAUUUUCGUCACCUAAGUUAGCUCUAAGGUGACAACACCUUACCUUACUUAGACAACGAAAACUGUCACUGAGGUGACGAAACUGUUUUCGUCACUAAAGUGUUCUCUUAGGUGACGAAUUAAAAAUAUUUCGUCACCUUAUAACGUUUUUCUAGUAGUGAACAUAAGCAUUAAUCCUCAUUCACCUCAAAACUUCACAUUAUCUGCUAGAAAUAAGUUUGAAAUUAUACAUGACAUAAUUGGUUGAUCUGAGGAUCAUAAGAAUCCAUAUAAUUGCAUAUAUACAUAAUACAAUACUCAAAAAAAAAAAAAAAAAAAGAGUUUAGAUCUCUAAAGAUGAUGAGUUUUGGUCUCCUAGCACAUGUAAAAUUAAGUUCAGGUAUCCAGACAAGAACGUGGUAGUCCUCAUAUAACUUUAAUCAAAUCUACAACUAUAUAUAACUAAUUUAUUUAUAAGCAAAUUGAGUGGUUGCACUAUCUAUAUGAACAAACCAGAACAGAGAAUCUAGAUGGAUAUAUACUGAGUUUAAUUUAACGAAUGAAUAUAGAGUACAAUACGGAAAACAAAUAUUGAUCAGGUUAUAUGUUAAGAGUAUGUUACCUAUAAAAGUUCAUAGAUUAAAUUUGUCUGAUGUACUUAAUAGGCCAUGCAAUUGUACUUCCUGUAUUCUCACUCAGUGUUCCAAACUCCUUGGUUGGUCGAUAUAAAGCUAUAUCAUCAAAAACAUCAAGCACCUAAACUUUCCAACAAUCAGGACCAAGGGGCACAUGAUGAACCAUAGCAUUUGGAUUUUUGGACUUAAGUUUUGCAAUUGCAACAACACCUUCGCUCAUCUCAAACCAACUUAACAAUUCAAUUAUAUUCUGAUCAUCCUUUGGCCCUUGUACCUUCGUUGUCUUUACUUUCCAUCCCAUGAUCAGUGGAGUGUUGAAGUGAAGUUUUGUUUAAUUUGGUUACUCUGCUUGCUCUUUAGACUUCGAUUUUCAGAUCUCCGAACACUUGAAUUGUUUUGCUUGCUUUGGGUUACAUUUCGAUUUUCAUUCUCCUUCUGUUGUGCAACCUUAUUAGUAGAACAUCAUGAGCUCUCACUAUUGUGUCUAUACUAGCUUUUGAAAGAAUUAUGUAUCUUAUUUUUCCUCCGUUCACUAGCUUCUUAAGCUCCCCCCUCUUCCUCACACAGAACAAAAUAGAUUUAGAGAUGCAUGAAAAUAUAUAGUAAUUAUAGUACCAUUGAAGUAGUGAAUGAAAGAAUGAUACUUAAAUGGAAAAAGAAACUCUCUCUAGUCUUACUGUAUCCUCAAUUGGCACCGAAACAUCAAAACACGAUGCUGAUAGUAAAAAUCGAUGUAGUCGACAUCCAUCGAGCCUUCAAAGCUAUAGAUUAGAAUUUCAUACAAAGAAAAAACUACAUAUUAAGAUUUUAUAUAGGUAUAAAAUCAAUACACGUUUUCAUAUGGAUGCGAAAUACAUAUUCACAAAAUAAAAAAUAAAAAAUCAUUCAAAAAAUAAUAAUAUAAAAUAAAAAAUAAAACACAAAUAGAUAAGAAAAUAAACAAAUUAAAAAAGAAUGAAGAUUAAGGAAUUUUGGUUUAAUAAAGUGAAACUACCAGCUAGAUUGAUUGUUCUCAAUAAGAUUCAAAUUUUCUUUAGAAAAUCUUUGAAAUAUUCUUUUGAUCAAAUUGAAUUUAGUAGGCAGACAUAGUUUGUUUUUCUUGUUUUUUUUUUAUUGAUUUUAUGGGACAAUGAGAAUUUUGAAAAAGGUAAAGAGUUAUGAAUAACAUUUUAGUUUUUCGUAAAAGUAAAUUAGCGGUCUAUUAAGUAGGGAGAUCCAAUUGUCAUUUUUAGAGGAUAGAAGCUCUCAUAAUUAAAGAGAAUUAUAGUAUUCAAUCUUUUAAGUGUUUUAGGAUUAUCCUAUCUCGGUCCCGAUUUACUUUUUAGACCGCCUUUGAAAGUUUUUAACAAAAAAUUUAUAAUUUUACCCCUACGAUUUAUUCUAUCUAGGGACUGCUCAAGUAUUUUAUUCCUGUGAUGGUCUCAUCAGACCUCCGACAUCAAAGUAGCAGUAUGAUGUUUUUUGUUCUUUUAUUUAUGUUUUCAGGGUGGUUAUCUGUUUCUAUUGUUGUCUUUGAUAGAGGAAUGACCUCCCUUUUCCCUUCUAGAUUUCUUGUGGUAAUGUUUGGGCCUCAAUGAUGUAGUGCAAGGGUUGGGGGGGGGGGGGGGGGGGGNNNNNNNNNNNNNNNNNNNNGGGGGGGGGGGUUAACUCAUUUAAUCAUGGAGCUUCUAGAGUUCAAUUAUAUUUAAAAUUAUGUCUAUUUAUUAGUGUUGGGAGACUAAACAUGGUGUAAUGUGGGGGUUGGAAAGUGAUAUUCUAGACAAAAUGUUGUUUAAAAAUGUAUUGGCAUUUAUUAGGGUUUAUGACUAGCUAUUUAAAUAGGAGCACUCAUGUAAGAUGAAGAUAGACUUUUGGUUAUGAGAUUUUCUAUAAAUAUAGAGAUUUGCUCUUUUAUCGUUCUUAUUUUUUUAGAUGUGUUAUGUUAUUUUAGUUAAUUAUCAUCAUCUACUGAUUUAUCCCCCGCAUAAUUUGAUAUAAAAGCCACGCUACGCUCUUUAGGUUGCUUCCCUCAUGGCGGCAAGAAGAGGUGGAGGAAAGCGUGUAAACCAUGAAAAACGAGAAAUCAAGGGGUGAAGAACUUUAUGCACUUGAAUUCAAAUACAAGUUGAGAAACUUUCCUUACUAAUUGAAUGCCUAAAUUGUAGGAAGCAUGGUGGAUCAAGAAACGGGUAUCCUUAUCAUAAGACCAAGACGGAUAUACAAUCGAAGCAUCGAUGUCGUCCAUCUCAAAGGUCUAAAAAUUACUUGUUGAAGGUUGGACACCAAGAUUUCAAGAAUGAAAUGAAGUUGCAAUAGGCAAUAGUUGCAAGAUGCACUCAAAGGAAUGAAAGGUUGCAACCUCGCAUUUGUGAAUAAACGCUAUAAUUUUGUGCUAUUAAAAAAAACUUUUCUUAUAGUGAUCUCAAAGGUCUAAGAUUUUAAGAAUCAUUUGUACGAGGUUGCAUCACUAAUAUUUUAAGAAUGACUUGAAGUUGCAAGAGGCACUUGUACAAAAGAAUGAGAGGUUGAGGAUGUUGAGGAGCUUGAGUUGUAGGUCAAAGUAUUCAAUAACGAUUCAAAUGUGAAGGUAUGCCAUUUAUUUCCUUUUGAGUUAGAGAUUGAGCAUGGAGAUAAUGUUGAAGUUGACUGGAAUUCACCACCCAUUUAUACGAUGAAUAUCAUAAUGUUGAACUUUUUGACCCAACAAAAGAGAAUAUUGGUGAAUCUAUUCGUGACAACAAUUUCGGUGAUUCAUGUCAAAAUAGAAACCAAGAGUUUGGGUUUCCGAAAGAAGUCCUUGCAUGCUCAGAUAACUCAUGUGCACCUAGUGUUUUAUAUGCGAACGUUUUAUCCAAGGAACAAGGUAAGAGUCAUGGUUCACUUUUGGUUUGUGAAGAUGGUAGUGUAGAUUUAAAAACUAAAGUUGGGUUUUUACAUGCAUCACAAUGCUCCAUAAAAUUUUAAUUUUAAUACCAUGAUCCUUUUUAGGAUGAUUUUGUGCAAGCUUCUAUCAACAACAUACAAGUUAAGAGAAAAGAAUGAUUUGUUUGUGAGUGUUUGAGUUUAAUGCACGGUCCAAUAAUAUUUGUACUUUGGAUUUUUUUUUUUUUUUGAGAAGAUUGAAUUGUGUGUCUCUUAUGUCGAGAAACUAUUUGUCAACAUGACGAAAGAAACAAAAAGAAGCAAGAUGAUAUGGUGGCGACAUCAUGACCUUUUAGAUGAAUACAAUUUCAACCAUAUGUGAGCUCGUGGAUCAACACAUUUUGAAAAAUUGUCUCGCGAUGCAUAUGGUAGCAUCCCUUUAACUUGUUCAGUUGAUGGCUAUAUCCGCUCUCUGCAAUAUUUUUCGUUCCAUUGCUACAAUUUAAAAAGUCCACAAAAUUUCAAUAUUCAGUUUUUCCAUAUUUAACAAAUUAAAUAUAGUUUUAAAAACACAUACCUCAGUCACAUCAGCACAGAAUAUUGACCAAGCUUAUCAAGCUUGUAUAAAAAUAAAAUGGCAUUAUCUCUCUGCAAUAUUUUUCGUUCCAUUGUUACAAUUCAAAAAGUCCACAACAUUUCAAUAUUUAGUUUUUCCAUAUUUAACAAAUUAAAUAUAGUUUUAAAAACACAUACCUCAGCCACAUCAGCACAGAAUAUUGACCAAGCUCAUCAAGCUUGUAUAAAAAUAAAAUGGCCUUAUCUUCGAGUUGUUCAAAAGUGUUUAACACCUUUACCAUCUUAACACGAUCACAACAUGUAAGAAAGCUGAAACGGUCGGUAUAUAAUGUUAUCAUCAAGUUGAUCACGCUAUUUCUCAAACGUGUUUCUGUGUCAUCUUUUCUUACGACUCACUGCCAAAACAGGUAGAGAAAACGAAUUAAUAAAUUGCAUUUUAAAGAUAAUAAUUACCAUUAAGUAUCCCACUGGAUCCUAGAUCACCUAAGGCAGCUAUUAGUAAAAGGUAAUCGACAAUCAUUACUACGUCAUCCUGUGGAGCAGUAUGUCCAUACAUUUCCUAAAAGCCUUUCAAGUCAAGGUCUAUAUGACAUGCUCUUGAGUCUUCAGCUUCACAUUUUUUAACCCAACGCAAGUCACGAUCACUUUUGUUGUUGUAUAAAUGACAAUACCUCGAGCCCUGUACGCAAAACAUCAAUGUAUAACUUCAUUCUAGAAAACCAAAUGAUCAAUAUGAUCUCAUCAUAUUGCCUAUCAUGUGAAGGGACUUAUUUAACACUGAUAUGAAGAAUUAAUUGGUACCACAUCAAACUUUUAAUAAUCACCCACGUACUUCUGGGAUGAGAACUGUCCAAUUUUGAAUUUCAAUGCAUGGAUAAGGUAACAACCAUUGAUUAAAUAAAAUGUUACCUAAAUCUCAAUAUUCAUAACUUAUUUCAUGGACCUCUUAAUUUUUCUUUUGGUGAUGAUAAUUCAUAUAAAAAAAACCAUGCAAUACAAACGGCAACCAAAACAAGAAAUAUAAACUGGAAGAAAAAAAUCCCAAUUUUUUGUUAUAGGGUCCAUCCCGGAGGAACAACAAGGGAGUUCUUUUUUGUGAUCACUAUCAUCCGUAUCUUAAGGGAAAUAAAUCACAUUAGGGAUGUGGGUGGAAAAUGUUGGUAUCAGUACACUUCGAAAAGUUAUACUCAGCUUGAUGAAUGCUAGUAUGUGGGUGUUUUAUGCAAUGUAUUUUUUUUGGAGAAUCCGCUUAUACUAUUGUGUGAGGUAGCCCAUUGUUUUAUGGAGAUUGGAGUUAUGCUUAUAAUCAAUAUCAGUCAUCAUAGAAAAUAUAUAAGCGUUCGAUAUGCUCUCUUCUCAUUUUAGUAUAUUCUAUGUAUUACGUUUAUCUCAUUUUAAUUUUUUUUUCUUUUGUUGGAUAAUCCUUGUUACGUACUGUUCACUUUGAUGAUGUCUAUAAUGGCAGCCGGUCUAUUUGCCUGUUGGCUAGAGUCGGGAGUUAAGAAUGUUGGUUUAUGUGUUUUUCUCACAAGCAUAAUUAUGCAUUAUUGGCUAACUAAACUACAGGUAAGUAGUGAAUAUUAGAUCUAUUGUGCAUACAACUAUCGUUUGGACCAAAUAUUAAUUGAAUUCUUUUGCUAAAUAUAAUCUGCAAUUGAUAAUUUAUCGAAAAAAGUUGCAAUUGACAAUUUAUCAAAAAAGAAUUUUAUGAUCAUGUUUGGAUCCUGCAUUCAGUGGAUCCUUUAUGGUGUUCUUGAGAGUGACAUUUAGUGACACGACCCACCCCGAAUUUCACCCUGAAACUCAGAGUAAGUCAUGCGGGGACCACCUCCAAGGAAAAUUUACUGAAAAGAUUGAGAAAAUCUCCCUUGAAAAUGGACAACCCUAACUCGAAAAUUCUAAAUUACACUCUUAAUACAACACGUCCAAACAUCACAUAAUUAUCCUUCAGAAAUUCUAAACAUAAUAUACAAUAAUCCCAAAGUAUUCAGAGCUACUAAACACUAGCGGAAGUAAGAAAACACUAGUAGGUUAAACAGGUAACCUACUGAUGAAAACUGGCGGAAAUGCGAGUGACUAUGCCACGCCUCCUGCUAGAUCCAACCUGAACUCUGCAGACUGGGCAAUUUAAAACGAAAGGCCCAGGAGAAAACAUUUAAUAACGUUAGAGUGAGUGGACAAAAAUAAAAUAAUAAUUAAAAUAUUUAUGUUUCCCCAAAUUAAUUUCUAAGGAAAAAUCGAAUGAAUGCCGCAAGCGAUAAAACUUUUAUCUCAUAAAAUAUCGAGCCUCUCAGACUCUAUAAUAUAUGUAUGUAUUUACACUCGUCCAUACUCCCUAUAUAAAUUCAUGGGUCUAUAUAGGGCUACUACGCUCGCGUCCAACGCUCACGUCACGCCUUAAUGCGGUGCUACACUACGCCAUUAAGGUGGACAGACGGGUGUAUAAAUAUGUGUCCAUACCCCCUAUAUGAAUUAAACACUCAAAUAGGGCUACUACGCUCACGUCCAACGCUCACGUCACACCAUAAUGCGGCUAUAUGCUACACAUAUGGCUAGCUAGCAUUUAUAUACAUACUCUCUCAUAAAUACAUAUUUAUAUCCACCGAAAAUCCCAUUUUCGGUAACUCUCCAAGAGAAAUAAAAAUCGUCAAAUUAAAAUGACGUUAAAAUAUUCCGCAACAUUAAUUGUUCAACCAUGAACUAUAGCAUGCAUUUAUUUAAAAUAAACGUCCACUCACAAAUUAGGCCUAAGCCUGAUGUCGAUCUGGGGCCUCGUCAGCUCGAGCCUCCUCACAUCCUGUUCCAAAUAUAAUAUUAAUUUCCCAACCAAUAAUCCAAUAUUUAAUCAAAAUAGGCAAAAUUACCCGAGAGCCAUAAAUGCGCUCAUCAUUGCCUAACUUCGAUAUUCUUAAAUCGGAACGAUCCGAACUUAAAUAUCAUACUCAACAGUCGUAAAUACAACCUCCCCAAAAUACGACUUAAAUCCUACGACCGGAUUCUACAUUAAUUAACCGUCAAAAAUACAAAACUUCGGAAAUUCACAAAUCUAUCCAAAUCUCAUCCAAAAAUNNNNNNNNNNNNNNNNNNNNGCUACAAAACCGUACCAAGCUUGCCCGGAUUGGUGGCCGAAGGAGGGAGUUCCGGCGACGUGAAACCUAACACAGUCGGACCUCUCGGGCCCGAUAUCUUCCUCACGGCGGCGCUAGGGGAGCUGUCACCGGUCCAAGAAGGUUGCUGGGUUGAUGGCCGACCGAACGGGACCGGUGCGGCGGCGGUUGGUGGCCGGACGGCGGCUGGCUGGCGACGGAAAGAUCGGCUGCAGGAGGGAGUUCGGGUGCGGGAAAACCGGGAGGGAGAGAGAGAGAGAAAAGAGGGCUGGGCUUGACCACCCCUUGGCCCGGUCCAACCUUCUUAUACCACCCAAAUCCAAAAUAAAACACCCCGAAAAAAUAAUAUCCGAAUAAAAAUUACCUUUUACUAGCUAAAAUUUACCAUUUUUACCGUCGUCAUAUUUUCUCCCACGAACAAUUCCCCGAAACUAAUCAUCUCUUAAAAAUACCUCUAGGGACCAAUUAAACUAUUAACUCAAUGACGGGGACGGUAAAAUUCUUAUUAUAAUUAAGCUAGUGAAUAAGGUAAAAAUAUAAGGGUCGGGAUGUGACAAUUCUCCCCUCCUUAUAAAAAUUUCGUCCUCGAAAUUGACAUACCUGUCAUCCGAAGAGAUAGGGAUAUUGCUGCAUCAUUUGCUCCUCUAAUUCCCAAGUAGCUUCUUCUACUUGAUGACUCCUCCAAAGCACCUUGACAAGCGGGAUUGUCUUGUUCCUAAGCACUUGCUCCUUCCGGUCGAGAAUCUGAACCGGAUCCUCUUCAUAGGACAAAUCUCGGGUCGAGAAUCGGCAAUAUACUUGCGAAGCAUGGAUAUAUGAAACACAUUAUGUAUCCUAGCUAACUCUGGAGGCAAGGCUAAUCGAUAAGCAAGUGAGCCAACUCGCUCUAUUAUCUCAUAAGGGCCAAUACACCUCGGGCUAAGCUUCCCACGUUUCCCGAAGCGCACAACCCCUUUCCAAGGAGAUAAUUUCAGGAACACCCAAUCACCCACUUGAAAUUCAAGAUCUCUCCUACGGACAUCUGCAUAACUCUUCUGCCUACUUUGAGCAGUCUUGAGUCUAUCUCUAACCACUUUAAUCUUCUCAUUCGUAACAUGGAUUAACUCUGGGCCACAAAGCUCUUUUUCCCCCACUUCAUUCCAACACAAAGGCGUACGACACUGCCUCCCAUAAAGAGCCACAAAGGGAGCCAUACCAAUGNNNNNNNNNNNNNNNNNNNNAUUUAAAACCCUAAAAUCUCUUAACCGGCGGCGGCCGGAGGCCAAUUCCGGCGACCUCCAAAACUUAUGAAAUUUUGACAAAAUAAUCUUCUCAUCAUGCUCUACAACUUUCCUAACUAGCACAAACACCAAUUCCAAGCCUAACUAGGGUAAUCGACUAAAAACAUCAAAAACGCCAUAAAACUUCCACCUCAAAUUUCUCCUUACCUAGCUCAAGAGGGAGUGAGUCCUUUUAGGGCAAGGAUGCUGGGUUGGAGGGCUACAAAACCGUACCAAGCUUGCCCGGAUUGGUGGCCGAAGGAGGGAGUUCCGGCGACGUGAAACCUAACACAGUCGGACCUCUCGGGCCCGAUAUCUUCCUCACGGCGGCGCUAGGGGAGCUGUCACCGGUCCAAGAAGGUUGCUGGGUUGAUGGCCGACCGAACGGGACCGGUGCGGCGACGGUUGGUGGCCGGACGGCGGCUGGCCGGCAACGGAAAGAUCGGCUGCGGGAGGGAGUUCGGUUGCGGGAAAACCGGGAGGGAGAGAGAGAGAAAAGAGGGCUGGGCUUGACCACCCCUUGGCCCGGUCCAACCUUCUUAUACCACCCAAAUCCAAAAUAAAACACCCCGAAAAAAUAAUACCCGAAUAAAAAUUACCUUUUACUAGCUAAAAUUUACUAUUUUUACCGUCGUUAUAUUUUCUCCCACGAACAAUUCCCCGAAACUAAUCAUCUCUUAAAAAUACCUCUAGGGACCAAUUAAACUAUUAAUUCAAUGACAGGGACGGUAAAAUUCUUAUUAUAAUUAAGCUAGUGAAUAAGGUAAAAAUAUAAGGGUCGGGAUGUGACAUUUAUAUUGUCAAAGAAAAUUCUGUCGGAGCUAUGUUUGCAUGUGAUGAGCUCGUUUUGACUUAUAGGCAUGAGAAAGUUAACUAAUGUUUUGAUUUGGUUUAGAAAGUGUUGAAUUUUCAGGCAUGUACAUUUUAAUGUGCGAUUUGGCUAUCCUUUUUUUUUUUUUAGGUAAAAAUUUUAAUAAUAUAUAAUACAACGUUACAACCAGCGAUUACAGUAGACAAGAACCGAAAGGAUUACCAUAACCUAACCUAAUCCAGAGAUUUGGCUAUCCUAUGUUUAAUGCAAUAUUUGUCAAGGGUGACCAUUUAUUUGAUUCGGGUUUUAAAAAGUCGUCCAUAUUUAGCAGUUACAAAUUUCUAUGACAAUAUCAUGAUUUCAUAAUCAAAGGUGCAAUAUCCUUUCACUACAACAAAAUUAGUCAUUUGCGAAACACAAUUUACGACACACAUUUGACUAUCAUUUACUAUACAAUUUUAAUGUGUAUCGUUAAAAUGUCAAUUUAUGCAUUUUAAGACGUGCAUUUCAUGCGUGCGUAAAAUAAUUAUAUGUUACAGCACAAAUCAAAUGUGUGUCGUAAAAUGAUUUAUUUAUGCCACAUUUCCAACGAUGUUUUUUGGAAAUCCUCAUCAUUUAGAGAUUCUUAAGCUUUUUUUUAUGUAAACCCUCCCAUGAUUUUCCAAAAAAAAAAAUUGGUGUCCACCACUUGUUGGAUGACGAGAAGUGCGGUUGUAUCUUUUUUUGUCUUUUUUUCUUCUUGCCUCAAUUGCUCCACCGAUAGAUUUUCCAUAUUUAGGAACCAUUUAUCCACGAUGUUCAAUUAAUCUUGAAACUUGAAAAAAGUCAUCAUCUUGAUACUCCAAAAAUCAUAAUUUUCUCCUUUAAAAAUAGAGAGAGAAAUUGAUGUUUGGUUGGAGGUGGAGGUAGACAUGGUGGAUACAAAUUAAUAACGCCAUAAAAGUUGAUCAAAGAAAGCUUUGAUACUACUAUUAGAAUUUGUGGCUUUGUUAGCACUGUCAAGGUUUGUUGCAUAAGCGUUUAGUUGUGAUGGGGCUAAGACAAUGUGUUUAAAACAGAGUAUCUAGGGGCUAAAGUUGAGAACGAACUUUAGUAGAAAAUUAAUUUUUUGCUUCAACUAUUUGAGGUUGCUCAAUAAUUAUACAUAAUUAUUGAAUGAACUCAGGAAAAUGUUAUAUAUAAUUAGAAGAAAUUUUAACCAAUUAAUUGUUUGAAAUCAGUCCUGAUUAAGGAUUAAACUUAUGUUUUAUUUCAAUCAAUAGGGUCUAACCUGGAGGAAAACCAUGAAAGUUGUUUUCUGACCUACAACAUUCUAGUGAUCACAACCAUCCACUUGUUGAUCGAGAUGGAUACAACACAUAAAGGAGUUGACUGAAUAUGUUGGUAUCAAGACAGUUGAGCACCAAUUUACAGGUAAGAAGAGUUUCUUCAAGAACUUUCUAUGCGUGAUGAAUACCCUUUUGUGGGGGUUGUAUGCAGUGCCAGAGAGUCUGCUCAUACUCUUUGGUGAGUUUGCCCAUUUUUUAAUGGAGGAUGCAGUUUUGAUAGUAAUUUAUCACAAUUAUCCUACUAAAUCUACACAAAUCCUUGUAAGUGCUCUCUCUUCUCAUUUUAAUAAUUAUUUUGUACAUUAUAUUAAUCUUAUUUUGGUUUUCUUUUUCUUUAGCUGGAUAUAAUUUUAUCAUAGCGUUAACUAUGUUUGUGCCCCUGAUACUAUCCGUUAUAUACCUGGAGUUGGGCUUGGGAGUUCAAAGCAUUGGUUUAUGUGCUCUUCUAACCAGCAUAGCCAACCUUUAUUGGCUUAUUAAGCUAAUGGUGAGUGGUUGUUUUUAUAAUUAGUGUGCAUACCUCUACAGCUCUACUGAGUUUCUCCCAAAUCCUAAUUAAAUUCUUUGCAGAUAUCAAUCCUAGAGGGGAAAGUUUAAAUUGACAAAUUAUCCUAGAAGAAUUCUGUGAUCAGUCUAAUUUCCUGGAUGUUGUGGAUUGUUUAUGGUACCCUUCAGAGUGACAUUUUCCUUGUCAAGGCGAACUUCACCGGAGCUAUACUAGCAGUAGCUCAGCUUGUUUUCACUUAUAAGCAAUGUUUUAAAAAUCCUAGAGCCGAUUAAUCCCCGCUUAGGUGUUAGAUGGUAUUUCACCGUUUCGGUUAUGGUCCAUCUAAAGAGCUAAAAAAACCUAUUAAUCCGCGAUUUGUUUAGCCUUAUGGGUCAAUGGGGUUAAUACGUGCAUAUGAUGUAUUUAUGUGUAAUAGGAGGUUUCUUACACAUGAUCAUCCAUAUGGGCACAAUAAAACUUGGUUUGAUGGAACUGAGGAACCUAGAGUUAGGCCUAGAAAGCUGACUGGUUUAGAGGUAUUUUAGGUAGUAAAGAUUAUUAAAAAUGAAUGGGGUAAGAAGGUUGGGUAGAAAAAGGGAAAAAAAAAGGUCGUAGUAGUAGUAAUAACAGAAAAAGGACAAGAAAUGGAGGUACGAAAAGUUUAGCCAAUGAAAUAUAUAGAUGUCGAUUCAUAUGAAAAUUCAGAUGAUGAUGGUGAUGAUGAUAGUGAGGAUCCUUUAAAGCCUUCGAAGAGACGGAAGAAGAAAUCAAACUUUUUUAAGUUACCAUAUUGAGAGGUACGUUUUACAAGUUUCUAUUUCAUUAAAGUUUGUUAAAACCUUGUUUCUUUAAUUGCAUCAAUUUAAUUGUUUCUUUAACUGUAUCAAUUUAAUAUAUAUUUUCUAUAUUACAGAGUUUAUUAUUGCGACACAAUUUAGAUAUGAUGCACUUUGAAAAAAAUUAUAUGUGAAAUCAUCAUUGACACUUUACUCAACAUGAAGGGGAAAACAAAGGAUAACCUGAAUUCUCACAAAGAUUUGAAAGUGUUGAGUAUAAAAAGAAAUUACACCUAAAAGAAGAAGGUUCCAUCAAAUGUAAAAGUGAUGCAGCACCUUACGUACUUUCAAAGAAAGAGAAGAAAACAUUUUGUAAAAGGUUAGCGAUGUUAAUCUACAAAAAAAAAUUCAGUUAGCCACGGCAAAAAACCGUCGCCAAAAACCAUUUUGCGGUCGCCAAAGAGCAACGGCGACGGCUUCGCAACGGCAUUUUUACUGUUGUCGUUGAGGGCGUGACCAUUGCUUUUGGCUACAGCAACGAGCCGUCGCCACCUCUUUUGCGACGGCAGGCAACGACUGCAAAAACCGUCGCUUAUUUGGCGACGGCAAGUGACGACUGCUUCCACCGUCGCAAAUCAACCAUUGGCGACGGCAAACUUGCCGUGACAAAUUCUAUUUAUGAAUUAAAAAAAAAAUCUAGCAAGCAUAUUAGCUUGACAGAUUUUUUUUUUUGGACAAAAACUGUGCAAAAAGGAAUCAAACGCAUUGAAACAGAACUGUUACAUUCAAUAAAAACUGUCAAAUGCCAAUCUUACACAAAAACUAUUAAUACAAGAACAUGGAGCUGUAAUUGAACAUGGAGCACAAGAACUAUUAAUACAAGAACAUGGAGCUGUAAAAUUGUUUCUUUGAUAACAACUAUUAUAUUAAAUCUCUCAGUUCCACAUGAGAAAACGCAAUAGAGGUCAGUAAUUACAAACAUGAAUUGAAAAACAUUAUAUCUACACACUAAAUGUUAUAACCUGACUUCUCACUAAUAACCUCAUCAGACAGCUUCAUAUUAACUGAGAAUUUCUCUGUUACCAAUUGAAUCAUAAUUUCAAUUACUGGAAGUCUCUUCCAACACCUUUGCCAUGAUCACUGUGCCUCCAGACUCGUCUAAGUCUCAGCCCCAACUGCAGGUUUCCUGCUGUCCACACCUUCCAAGGUUAAAGAAAUUUAUGAGUCAUACAUACUGCCUCAAACACAAAGCAAACAUCUCUCGUGUAACAUAUGCUUAAAUUGAACACAGAAUCUGAUAACACCCAGUUGCCCAGUUGCAAAAGACUACAUAUUGUGAACACAGAAGUAUAUAAUUCAAGCCUAAACUAACAUAUUCUCUAACUACAUUUUGCAAAAGGCUCUGAAUAUCAGGGUGCAUUGUAUCAUAUUGGACAUUGUCAUUCAAAUAAUAAUAGCUUUCCAGUGUGUGACAAUAAUAAUCAUAAUAGCUUUGCGGUGGGAAAAAAAAAUUGGUUUUUGCUUAUAUUUUUUGUAGUGUGAUAAUGAUAAUGGAACAGGAUCAUGGACUCACGGCUAAAAGUAGGAUGAGGAAUGUCAGCGAAGUUACAAGCAUUGCACUGGACUGCAGACUUGAGUACCCAAAACAUGGGCCCUUCCCCCAUUGCAAAUCAACACUGGAGAAGAGAUUUCUUCAAUUUGAGAAAUGAUAUGCACCCCUCAGUUUGACAACCCAACACCAUUCUGCAAAUGAAAAACACAAAGCAAAUUAAUUUACUGUCAAGGAGAAUGCAGCAACAUACAAGAAUGAAAAAUGGGCACAUAUAUACUCAUUUAUGUACCUAAAGUUUGCAUUAUUAUCUAUUACGUAGAAGAGGCAACAUAAGACAAUAUCUGGUUUAUUCAUGAAUAAUCCUAUCUCCAUUUUCUUGUAAGCAAUUUGAUUAUACAUAGAGGGAACAUAAACUUCUGCAAACAAGUAGGGAGGGAUUAUAAAAACAAGAAACAAUCAUCUCGUAUAGCAUGGAAUCAGGGGAAGACUUAUAAUACCUGGAAACCAGUAAUCUUUUUCCUUCUGCAUUGUAUAUGCCAUAUCUUUUGCUAGUCUAAAUCCAGAACUACUGAUUUCAAACAAUUCCGACAAGAUCAAGUGAUCAACAUAAUUCAUGACCAAGACGCUUGACCUGCAUCAAAAGUAAGCAAUGACAAACACAUGAAUGAAAUUUUUGAUAAGGAGAGAUGCUGAAAAUUACUGUUAAUCCAUAAAUAAAAUAUAUACUCUGUUAUAUAUAAUGUCAAUUAACAAACAACUAUUAAAGAGUGGUUUAUGCAUUGCGGGAAAACAACUGCAAACAGAUAGUGGUCUACGUAUCUACUCAUUUUGACUUCAAGUCUACUCCAACCAAAUAUAGAUAACUAUGACAGAUAAGAAAGAGAUGAAUAUAGCUAUUAAUGAGGCAUAAACUGCAAUUCAUAAUUUCACUUCAUUUUCCUUUCACCGCUUCCUUCCACUUAUAAUAUUCCAAUAAAGAAAGCCUGAAGUUGACAAUGCAAGUAUUUCAUUUACAAAUAGUAUGACAAAGAGUAAAUGAUACAGAAAUGCUAGUCUUGGCUGUAGAUUUAUUUAAGCUCAAUACCAGCAGCUACGUGGAUGCUAGUGACAUCUUCGAGAGUCUCAUAUAUGACCAAAUACGUUUAUCAGAUUGAGGAUACAAUUCAUGCAACCUGAUCAAAGGGGAGAAUAUGUAGGAAUCUCGAUCACCAAAGUUUGCUCAAGAUAAGAUGAUAUAGUUAACUAAGACUGUUCACAAUCAUAAUAGAGAACUCAGAACAUAUAAUACGAAAGAAAUGCUUACCAAGUUAGCAAUUAGAUUGAACCCAGUCUAGACAGGUCUCCCAACAACCAAUAUGCAAUUCAAGUUAGUCUGUUUACAACGAUGCCUCAUUAUUAUAUAGCAUAUACAUUUGAAACAGACAUGUAAAAACAAACAAAAAACAAAAAAAAGUUAAGAGACAUUUGAAUUCAAACAGAAACAAACCCACUCACAAAUCCUUCAAACACACAAUCAAAUUCUACAACUAAACAAGGAAUAGUAGAAAAUUUGGAGAAAUCAUUAAUCUGAUGGAACCACAAUUCAGAAAAUUACCUCAACCUACACCAAAGUGUACUGAUACAUCUCAAGUCCACAAAAUUCCAACUAUCAAUUCCUAUUAUGAUAUUGAAACAAAAGAUCAUGCUUUUUCCUAAGAGAAAAAAUAUACCCAUGAAUAUAACAAAAAGUUAAAUACAAGAGUGAAGCUCAGUUUCAUGCUUCGUGAAGCUAGUUCAGCUUUUACAUUGUAAGUGGCACUUACUUUGACAACUCACAGUUGGUUGAAUGCACAAUUAUGGUUACCAUCUGACCAAGAGCUGAAUUUUCCAAUAACAACUCCAGUUUGUUACCUAUUCUCGACAAAGGUGAAAGAAGUCUCUACAGUAUCAAAAUAUGAAACUCACUUCAAUUGCAUUUAAGUCGCAACAGAACAAAAUGAAAACUGAUAGGGAUAAAGGGCAGUUGAAAUUGUAAGAACACUUGAGACUCAACCAAAAACUGUAAGCAUAAAACAUGAAACAAGAAUGAGGAGACAACCAGUAAAGACAUCAAUCUAUCAUGUUCCUAAAUUUUAAUUUUGAUGUGCAUUUAAACCUGUGCAUUAGAAAUUACCUCUGUAAAACACAUCCAUGCCAUAUUAGAAAUCGAAAACAGAUAAAAGUAAAACGAAGGUACCAUUGGAUCUGAAUGUGUUCCGGUUCCAUCUGAGCAGUAACUCCUGAGCGGUAGCAACAUCAAAUUCUUUACCUUUUCAGCAAUGGCAAGUAACUCCUGAGCGGUAGCAACAUCAGCAGCCAAGCGGAGAUUGGUCUUCUUCUUCCCUGUGGGAUUCUUGCUCAGCUUGGCCCUCUCCUCAAACCCUAACCUUCUCCUUCUCCACUUUCGACACCGCCACUCUCUGAUUCUCCUCCAGAAACCUAAGCACGGCCCCCACCGUCUCCUCCGCCACCUUCCCCUUGUCCUUGAAAACCCUAACCAUCUUGCUCAGCUGGAACAGAGCGUGUAGCCUGAUACCGUUCUCUUCCAGGUUCUCCCUCCCGCCUUGCUCGCGGUCAACGAUGGCGUUGCAGACCUUCAACCCGGCAGCACAGACCGGCGUUCAAGAACGGAGGCGCCGCUGGUGACGAGGUGGUGGCCGGAGAUAAAGUUUCUAGCGCUGGCAGCGUUAAGGAGAAGAGAGAGAUUUUGGGGGAGAGAGGAAUGGUUGCGCGGCUGGGACAGAAAGGGAGUUUGAGCGGUGCUAGGGUUUCCUAGCAUUCACUUUAUACAUCCUAUCUUGAAAUAACGCAUUUGCCCUCAAGACUAUUAACGUUCCAGAUGAAUCGGUGUAGAGACGAAUGGCCAAGAUUACCCUAUUUUAAAAUUCUAAUCAUUUUUCUAAUGAUAAUUGUUAUCAAUUAGCUAUUUUGAUAUAUACGGAAUUUUAGAAAAUCGAAAUUAAUAGCUCGGGACAUCAAAAAUUUUACGAAAAUUCUAAAGCACUUGUGAGUACAAGAUGUGUCGAUCAAUGUAAAAAUUUCGGCACAUUUAUAUUUUUGUGAUAGGGCUCCUUUUGGAGAAACAUAAAUACAUAUUACGUUGACUAGAUUGACCGAUAUGAAAAUAAAGACCGCCCGGGUUCAUUUUUCUACACAACACUUCAUAAUACGUAUUAAACAAAUGGGUUAUGUCAAAUUCAUCAAUUUCCUAUUUUUAUUAUUUGCAUCACUCAAAAUCAUUCUAUGUCUACUAAUAUUGUAUAACAUGUUCAUUGGUUAUAGGGGAAAAAAUACCUUUCAAAAUGAACAAGGUGGAGCACAAAUAAUUUGAUAAAUUUGACCGUUAGAUUUGAUCAUUAUAAGGAAAUAUGACUAUGGUAAAAAAAUUACAUGUUUUCUUCAUCGUUUUGGUCUCGAUCAACGCAGUCAACUCAAAACAAUAUUAAAUAACCGUUAAACUAAAACGCUCGUAUCUACUUCCUCACAAAUUAUUUUCUUGAUUUGUCAACAUUUACACUCUCAUGGGACAAGAUGUAUCAAUCCAUAUAAAAAUUUUGGAACGUUUAUGUCCCCAUGAUAGAGCUCCCCUUAUGGAAGCAUAAUCAUAUUUUAAGUUGACAUUUUAAAAAAAUUAGAAACAAUUGACGACGGUGAUAACUUGCCGUUGCUAUUGAUUACAAAGUUUGCCACGGCCUCUUUCUGCCAUCGCAAAUUUUACCUUUUUUAGCCACGGCGCCCAUUUGCCGUCGCAAAGUUUACAUUUUCUUGCCACGGCUCCACAUUGCCGUUGCAAAACUUAAUUUUUUUUGCCACGGCACAAAGUUGCCUUCGCAAAAUAAUUUUAAUUUAGCUACGGAUGCUUUGCCGUCGCAAAAACUGGACCAAUGGCGACGGCAAAUCUGAGCCGUGGCAAUUUGGGGUGGCUAAUUGAAUUCUUUUUUGUAGUGAUAUAAGAUUGCCAUAUGGGUAUUAAUGUUCCAACCUUGCAAAUCGUGUCUCUUUGCAAGAUAACAAUAUAACGAAUUUGAAGUCACACGAUUGUCACGUUUUGAUCCAACAGAUUCUUGCAGUAGCUUUGAAAGGACUUGUGCCUAAAGGUCAUAGACUUGCAAUUUUUCGCUUGUGCUUUUUUUUCCAUCAGUUAUGUCAGAGAGAGAUUGAGAAAAAACAUAUAAGUAUUCUUGAUGAAGAAAUUGCAGAGACUGUUUAUAUGUUUGAAAGGUUCUUUCCUCCCUCUUUCUUUGACCUUAUAGUUGACUUACCAAUUCACCUUGCACAAGAAGCUCUUAUUAAUGGCCCUGUGCAUUUUCGUUGGAUAUACCCCUUUGAAAAGGGAGCAUACAAUUCACUUCAUUUUCACAACUCCCUUGCUAGUGCUCCUUUAUUCCUCCAAUACUAAUGUUGAUUUGUUUUUCUUUUUAGGUUUAUGAAGGACUUAAAAGGAUAUGCUCAGAAUCGAUCAAAUCCUGAAGGAUGCAUAGUUGAAAAGUAUUUGGCAGAAGAGAUAACACGUUUUUGUAGUGGAUAUAUUGAAGGAGCAGCUGAAAUAUGUGUUAAAACUAGACGUAAUGAGGAUUUUGAGGAUGAAACAAUACUGGAAGGGCGACCACUUGGUCAGGGAAGCUAAAACCACUCAAUUCUUCUAUGUUAGAUAUUGCUCAUCGAUUUGUGUUGACCAAUACCUCAUAAGUCGAUCCAUGGAGUGGGUAAGUUUGAUUGCGAAACUUAUUUUGUUUAGUUGUUUGUAGCUUACAUAUUUAGUUUCUGAAAUAUUUAUUUCCUAUCAGAAUGCACAUGGAACAACUGAAGUGUUCAGACACACGUCUUAAAAAGGAUGAAUACCUUCUUAAACAGAGACAUCUUGAUACCUUUAGUGGAUGGUUAGCUAGUAAGGUUAAGUUUGGUGAUAGUAUUGGCCGGUAUGUCUGAUACAGUGAAGUGGAUUGUUUGUCGGCCAAUUUCAUUGUUGAUGGAAUCUACAAGAAAACAUGCUGCAUAUUUCUCCUCUUUCAUUGGAAUCUCAGCAAGAGAACUUUUACCAAUGACUGCUGGGACUUGGAAAGAUGUAUCCCCGAGUUUCCAAGAUGAUAUUUAGAAACACAUCACAGUAAGUUUUCUACUAUCAAUUACUGUAUACGAACUUGUUACAAGAAGACAAUUUUCAAAGGAUGGUAAAGCUUUGGCAAGAUAAUAAAUCUUUAAUGAUGAAAGAAGUGGAGACGCAAGCCAAUGUAUGUAAUUUUCUAUGGUCGAUGAUUUAAUGAAGUAAGUUUUCAUUUGGGCCUUAUCUCUAUUGUCAUGGUAAAACCCUAAAAGACGAUAAGGAUAUUGCACAUUGGAGUAUAAAAAUGCACGUAACUUUCUCAUUAAUACUUGUAACUGCUAAAUACAACCCCCUAAAGAGACACUUAAAUAAGGGUUCCACCCUUGACAUACUCGGUGAAAGCCAAAGCCACCAAACCUAACAUGGCCAGUCUUCCAUUCCACAACUCAGCAUCUGAGGUCAUGAGCCCUUUUGAUUUCGACUCCACACUGACUCCUUGAAAUAGAGGAAUCACGGAUGCAACCGACAGCAAAAUGCUAGUACCAAGGAACACCGAGACUCCACCGUCGGAGAUCUGAGAAAACACGUCCUGGCCCUUUAACAGUUCAACCGCAAGAGCUGAGACAAAGCCAACCAUUGCAAGUCUGCCGUUGAUUCUUUCCGGUGCCGGACCGCUGAAGGCGAAAACGUCCCCGAACUUGGUGCUAACCUUGGGAGUCCUUGGUGGUGGUGGGAAAGGUGUAGGUGUAGGUGCUGCUGCUGGAAUCUUUGAUGGUUCUGAAACUGUAGAUGGUUUCUCCUCAGGUAGACCAUCCUGCAAUAUAUGGACAAAUUGGAAAUUGUUAAUUAACACGAAGAUCCUCGACAAAAUUAAACUCUAAACAGUGAGAUCUAAACAGAAAACUCUUUUUAUUUUGAACUCUGAAACAAAAGUUGCUUUGAACACAGAGGAAACAGUAGCUUAGGUAGAGAGCUACUUACCUCAGCCAUGGAGCGCACCCUCAUGUUAGGGUACCUAUGAAGAGUUGGUAAGAGUUGGUUUACCCUGACUGAGCUCCUCAUUCCAGCUCCAUAAGCGACGGAGUUGGCUAGGAAUAUCGAUUGCGUGGAAGCUGAAGCAGCCAUUUUAUAUAUGUUUCUUGACUGAAACACCCACAAAGUAUGAUCAAGGAGGUUGAUGAAGCACAAGAUCGAGCUUAGAAGAGAAAAGAGAGAAGAGAAAAGUGAAGACGAUCUGGGUUAUUGAACUUGUGUGCCCUGAACUGGCCUUUAUAGAAAAACUACGUGAUGGGUUUAGUCACUUUUAGUGCUAGGGGGGAUUGGCUCGUGAAGUUGAACGGUGGAUAUUUAGGCACCACGUCGCUCGUAAGGGUAUGCAAGUAAUGUUGGGACACUUGGGUUGUUUUCUUCUCACAUGAUGGGCAUGGGAGACGUGGUUGAAGAACACACCACAAUGUAGAAGUCGAUCAGUGAUUUUCUGAGGUCCCAUCGUUCCACUUUUCUGAUCUUUCCAGAAACGAGGACUGAUGUUUGACGAGUCCACGAUAUACUGGUGUUAGGGUUUUGAGCUAGUCGACACUUGUUAGUUGUUAGGCACGAGAGACUAUUUACGUUGAGCUUCAUUUUCGAUUUGUUGGAAAGAGGAAGAUACUGGCCGAGUCACCAAGCACUCAGCACAGCGCAGAAAACAGUUGCGUUUGUUUGAUAGUGGUGGGUUGGAGAGACGUGGUUCUCUCUAUACAUACAAGCAAAAACUUCGAUCAACGGACUAGUCUAUUUCUACCACACAACGUAAGAUCAGUAAAGUUUUAGUGUUUGGUAAAGAAAAUUUACCAUAACAAGUCGACCAUAUUAUAUACCAUAUACUACAGGCCGGCAAGAACUUCAAUUGUACGUUCAACAUCGAUGGUCAUGAGGAGACUUCGAAUCAAGUGCAAUGACUACCAUACGUGUUUGCGAAUACCUUUUCCAAUAUUUUCCUUUUGUUCAUGACUCGAUCCGGCCAUUGUAUACUCUACCAAAAUCUGAGUUACUUAACCCAUAAUCCAUCUGUAGCUAUAGGUAGAGAGAGAAAUAUUGGGAGGAAUGUGUAGUAGCAGACGUGAUGGAUUAAUUAUGAGUUUCUGAAAUAAAUUUGUUGGUGUUUCCUUAACGCCUCUAGUUGGUAUAAUGCUAAAACUGCACUAUAAAGCCUUGAAAAAUGUUUCUAUUAUAAACUAUAAAGGAUCGAUAUGGGGGGAGAUAAUGAGUAUGCGGAGUCCAUAAGAUCAAUUGUGGACAAAUACCAGUUAUGGCAUGGCAACCUGUAUACGAAUCAUCCACACAAACACACACAACGCACACUAAAGAAUGUACAUUUUGCUUGCACACGGUACGUAGAUUCAAUAGAACACUAUAUUUUCAGACUCGGUAGAUGGUCUUGAUACUUAUAGGACACAUUUACUAUGAGAAUAAGUUCAACUAGAAUGAUGUAGGCUAUUUAUUAGGAGUUACGAGUUAGGCCGAUCACAUUUUCAAUUAUGUAGUCAAUUUUGAUAGAGAACUAGGUCGGAACUAUAUAUAUGGUUUGUUUAGUCAAGAACUUCAACUGAACGGUCGAAUUAACUGGGAGGUCCAAAUGUUGGAGAUAGGAAUAAUAGUUUUCUGUCUCUGUUCUUGUUCAAAAAGAAAUUUUGAACGAAAAUCCAUUUUGGUCGUGAAUUAGCAAAUUAGUUUCAUGCUCACUUUUAAGUAUCCAAAGUUCCAAACAAAUAAUACAUUUCACCUGCAACUAAAUAAUGAAACUAAAUAACGAAAAUAUGACUUGUACAAGGUGUUAAGGAUGAACAUGGCUGGCAAAUUCACCGGCCAAUAAUGGUGCGACAUAAUUAUAUUAGGGUUCCGGUGGAACCGUUCCACCCGUGACAUACUGAGUGAAGGCCAAAGCCACCAAACCUAGCAUGCCCAAUCUUCCAUUCCACAACUCAGCGACUCCCUUGGCUUUAUAAAUAGAGAUAGAGAAGUUGAGAAAAAAGGACGAUAAACAAGAUAUGGAGACCCACACCAAAAGCACAUAAAACAGCCAUGGAAAUUGGAAAGGGCCUCUCCUUCUGAUCCGCUAACUCCAACAAGUCCUCCUCCUCCUCCACCCAACCGGCAUUGUUUCUAAAAGAAUGGACGAGUUUUGGGUACAGAAGUUUCAUCGAAGUACGACGUCCUUUCAGCAAACCACUCGCUCUCAGUAUGCCACUUGCUCUCUGACGGAAGUGUUGAGCGACGAAAGAUUUCUUUGGUGGAUUUUCUAGCAAAUACAGCGUCGACUUGCAUGUCAAUACAAAUGCAUUUGCGUUGUAGUCCGCUAUGAGUCUAUGACGGGGUCUCUGAGGAAAGGAAUCAUGUCAACAACACCAAAACUUAGUAUGCGAGCCGCAUGGUCGUUAUAAUAGGGUCUCUCGUCGAGAACAAGUGCCUGAAGGCUGAAGCGACACCAAAACUUGGAGGAUCGUCGACAUAGAUGGGUCCUCCACCGCUCACUACUACUCCUCCUCCACCCAAUCCAGUACUUGCUUAGAGGGCUUAAAGUCUUAAACAGAUGCAUCCGUUUGAGUUUAGGAUUGGGUUGAGAGACGAACCAUGCGAUCGGAAGUGGACAUGGGGUGGGUGGUCAGGGUAGUCCGAUGGAAACCUGAUGUCGAAGAAGAAGAGUCCAUCCUGGCUGCUCCAAUAAUCACAGCCCUCAUAAGGUCGAUACGGGUCUCGUACGCGCGCACGUAGAUGGUGUCCGCAGGGAGGUUCUUUUUUAAGAUUUUCCACUCGCGCAUGAUAUUCUUGUAGGCUCUGCUGCCAUUGAUGAAACUAUGUCCAUCUCCCUAUUUCAUGGCGGCGCUAUAGUAGUGGUCUUAGUGGUCCGAAACCAUGUCAAAUUGCUUGAACGCAGUUUCCUCGGCCAUGUCUACGUACUAUUGAGAUUUUAGCUAGGGAUUACGUAUUUAUAGAGAGUAAUAUUUAUAGAGACUACUAAUAGGGAGUAUGCACUCGGUAGAUGGUCUUGAUACUUAUAGGACACAUUUACUAUAUGAGAAGAAGCUAGUUCAACUAAAAUUAUGUGGUUGGUUUCAAAUUUGGCCUGUGUUUCGAGCAGGCAUGUUAUACCUAACGGCACAGCAGAAUUUUCCAAAUUAUAUAGGCUACUCAUUAGGAGUUAGGUCGAUCUCUAUUUUUUUUUUUUUUAUUAUGUACGAAAUUUUGAUAGAAUUAACCGGGAGGUCCAAAAGUUGGCGGUAAGGUUAAAUAUUCAAGUGAACAUAUACAAUUACCCUUUAUUGUCUAGUGUAUAGAAGAAAGAAGAAAUAAACAAAAAGAUCAAGUACGUGGAUAUAAGGAUCGACAAGAAUAGUUUUCUCUAUGUUCUUGUUCAAAAUGAAAUUCAAUUUGAUCCAAAACCGUCUUCUGGUCUUGAUGAAUUAGCAAUUUAAUUUUAUGCUCAUUUAUAAGUUAUCCAAAGAUCCAAACAAAUUAUAAAUUUCAUCUGCAACUUUUACAAGGUAUUGAAGAUGAACCUAGCUAGCAAAUUCACUGGCCAAUAAUGAGGCAUGCAUGCGAACUAAUUAUAUGAGGGUUCCACCCUUGACGUACUCGGUGAAAGCCAAAGCCACCAAACCUAACAUGGCCAAUCUUCCAUUCCACAACUCAGCAUCUGAGGUCACGAGUCCUUUCGAUUUUGACUCCACACUGACUCCUUGAAAUAGAGGAAUCACGGAUGCAACCGACAACAAAACGCUAGUGCCAAGGAAGAGUGAGACGCCACCGUCGGAGAUCUGAGAAAAAAUGUCCUGGCCCUUUAACAGUUCCACUGCAAGAGCCGAAACAAAGCCAACCAUAGCGAGUCUGCCGUUGAUUCUUUCCGGCGCUGGACCGCUGAAGGCGAAAUUACGUCCCCGAACAUGGUGCUAACUUUGGGAGUCCUAGCACUACAAGAAUUUGGCUUAUUAAUAACACUGUUUAAUAGCGUUUUUUUUUAAGUGUUAUUAAUGGGUAUUUUAUAAAAAUUUAAAAAUAUAAAAAUCCCUAAAACGCUAUCCUUUCUUUUCAAUAACGCGAAGAAGAGAAGCGGGACUCCAAAAGUGUAAGCGGGAAUGAAAAAUCGGUUUCGCGCCUUGGAUUUGGAAAAGCCCAAAGCUUAUCACUUACAGUGUUCAGUUUACCUAAGAGUAAAAGAAAGAAAAUAGACACAGAAGACGAAAUUGGGCAAAAUGAGGUCACGUAUUGUUCUUCCUUCGAUUUGCCGUCAUCGCAACUUUGGUUCGCAACUCUGGUGAGGUCGCCGUCAUCGCAAUUCCUUGUCGUUAUUGCUAUUCCCUGGGUUUCCUGCUUCCGAUUCGUGUUUUGUCUCCUUCUUUUUCGCUACUUCUGGUUCGUCUCUCUCUCUCUCUCUCUCUCUCUCUCUCUCUCUCUCUCUCUCUCGAUACACACUUUUUUUUGCUUUCAGAUCGAAAUAUUCUGGGUUUGAUUAGGUGUUUGGUCACUUGAAUCUUAGGUUUUGAAGAAUAUGUUUAUGAGGUUUUAAUUUUGAAUCUUAGGUUUAGACUUGAAGCCAGAGAACUUUUUGUUUGCAAACAACAAGGAGAACCCAACUCUUAAGGCUAUCGAUUUCAGAUUGUCUAUAUUCUUCAAGCCAGGUACCAAUUUCGCACUUAGGGCUUUUGAUUAUGCAAUGUUGGUCUGGUGUGUCAUGUCUGUAUAGUGACUUGGAGAGCUUUGCUUUGACUUGGCUAAUUAUUUUGGUUGCUGGUUUCCAUAGAUUGAGGUAGGGAAAACAAAACCUUCCUUAUAGCUUAGAUUCUAAUUUGAUGUGUGUUGGGUGUGAUUGCUGUGAUACGUGUUCUCUAUGAAUUCUUAUGCGAUUUAGAUAAGGAUAUAUAUUGGUGGAAACCUUGAUUGGUUCUAUUUGUUGCAGCAACUGAUUAAUAGUUUAUGGUCGUUUUUAUCGAGUUCUGAGAUCAAUUUCUAAAUCAUCUUCAAGUAUUGUUUCAGCUGAGCUUUGUUUUUGUUCGAAAUAGACAUUCCAAGAAGUUCUAUAAGUAGGAUUUGAUCAAAACACAUUGUAUUUAUAACUCUUAGCUUUUACAUAAAGGAAGGAUAUAAAUUCUGAAAAUUCUACAGAAACUGUUUGGUUAUGUAGUCACUUUAGAAAUUCGCUUAACUAACUUUUAUAUGUCCAAAUUUUCUGAAACUUUUACAUGUUGUAUCCUUGUUAGCCUAUAAGAGAUCUGGAAAGUUUCAGCUUAUUCCAAUGUAAGUUGAAAACUCGGUGAUUUUUCAAAGUUCUCCCUAUAGUUGGUAAAGUUCUAGAAUUUUGAAUAUGCUUCCUUGUUUUUAGUUGAGCUUUGGACCUCCAUUUUAACUAAUUCAUUUCUGUUCUUUUUGAAUAUUAUAGUAGACUUUCUAGUGAUUGUUGCGAAAGUGAUUUCUUGUCAUUUGCUCAUAAAAUGAGUUCAUGGUUAAUUUUCCAAGUCGACAUUGCAGCUGGCAUUUCUUUCCUACAUAUUCUGACAAUUCAGUCAGUUUGUGAUCAAGUUUUGCAUUACUUCUUAAAUAUUCGAGUUUAUUCAAAGUAAAGUUUCAUUCCUUGAUUGGUUUCAUUUGUGCUUCCACCAUUGAAGAUGUACUCCUGUUGAUAAUUUUAGCUGCUGCUAUAAAUUGCAAUCUUGUACUUGCUUUAUUAUUGAGUGCGGCUAUUAGGACCUAUAAAUUUGCUCAGUAUACCUCUCAUUCUCCAUACAUCUCCCUUUUACUUUUCAAUAUAAGCGUUUUCUCACUAUACCUCAUUUCAAAUUCCUAGCAUAACCUUAGUUAUUUAUUGACAUAUAUUUCAAUUAAUUACUUACUUAACUCUUAUUCACUCAAUAGACCUCUCUCUUUUUUCUUUUCUUUUUUACCUUUUUGUUUUUGAACAUCCAUUAUCCCUACCUUCAUUUUUUGAUUAUUUUUUUCAUCAAAGAAAAUGUUUUAUCAUGAACUAUUCUAUGUAUCUUUUUAACUUUUGUUUUUCUCUUUCGUAUGUGUUAUUUUUCUCUUUUUUUUAUUUUUAUUUUGAAUAAUUUGAUCUCUAUUUUAUACCUCAUAAUAAAUUAUUUUAAUAAAUAUAUAUUUUCUAUAAUCAAUAGAUAUAUAUAUAUUGUAAAAAUAUUUAUGCACCUUGCAAGUAUAUGCGUUCAACAUGUAUGAUAAUACAAAAUUUUAUGUCAUAUGAUCGAUAUUUGAUCAUUGUUUAGCUCUUAUGAACCUAUAUAUAUAUAUAUAUAUAUAUAUNNNNNNNNNNNNNNNNNNNNNNNNNNNNNNNNNNNNNNNNNNNNNNNNNNAAAUAACUGCGACUUUUCCAAAGUCCGCAAUAUUAUUCUUAGAUGCUUAGCAUGCUCCUUCUCACUUCUUGAGUAAACCAAUAUGUCAUCUAUGAAUACGAUCACGAAACGAUCAAGGUAUGGACUAAACACCCUAUUCAUGAGAUCCAUGAACGCCGCGGGUGCAUUAGUAAGUCCAAAUGGCAUCACCACAAACUCAUAAUGACCAUAUCGUGACCGAAAAGCAGUCUUGGCUAUGUCCCCCUCUCGGAUCCGCAACUGAUGAUAACCCGAUCUCAAAUCAAUCUUAGAGAAAACAGAGGCACCCCUCAACUGAUCAAAUAAAUCAUCGAUCCGAGACAACGGAUAUUUAUUCCUCACUGUGACCUUAUUCAACUUCCUGUAAUCAAUGCAUAGUCUCAUGGUGCCAUCUUUCUUCUUAACAAACAACACCGGAGCACCCCAUGGAGACAUGCUAGGCCGAAUAAAACCCUUAUCUACCAACUCCUGCAAUUGAGUCUUCAACUCUUUCAAUUCCGCUGGAGCCAUUCUGUAAGGCGCCUGAGAGAUAGGCAUAGUUCCGGGAAAUAAUUCUAUAGAGAAAUCUAUCUCCCUUGCAGGAGGCAAACCAGGCAACUCCUCAGAAAAAACAUCUGGGAACUCCCUUACUACUGGAAUAUCUUCUAAUCCCACAACUCCCAUACUUGUAUCCACCAUAUGAGCUAAAUAUGCCUGACAGCCUUUACUCAACAAUUUCCUUGCAGUAACAGCGGAAAUUAUGCAACUAGAAAUAACAUCUCUUUCCCCUUGGAAAGCCACCUCAAAACCAUCUGGACUUCGAAGCACCACAACUUUUUGAAAACAAUCUACCAUAGCUCUAUAUGGUUCCAAAAAGUCCAUUCCCAAUAUCACAUCAAACUCCACUAUAUCUAAAGGAAUUAAAUCAGCCUUGAAAUUAACUCCUUCCACUAAAACUUCACAACCACUAAAUACCCAAUUUAUUCUCAUCACCUCACCGGAGGGUAGAGACACAUGCCACUCGCCUGGAAGAGACGAUGAUGGCACAUUGGCAUGGAGGGCAAAUUUACUAGACAUGAAUGAAUGCGUGGCUCCGGGAUCAAUUAAAGUAAAAGCAGGCUGACCAAAAAUUAAUAAUGUAUCAAUGAUGACAUCUUAAAAAGUACGACCCUCCUGCUGGGUCAUAGCAUGCAGUCUAGCGCGAGUCAUGGGACGUCCACGCUGACCACUUCCCCGCUGAGAGCCACCUCUAACCGAAGCACUGCCCUGGGCACCACUACUAGAGCCUCCAGUUGAAGACUGACCAACAGGCUGAGUAGGGGUGGGAGUGGUCCUUUGAGCCAACAAUGGGCAAUCUCUCCUGAAGUGGUCCUGACCACCACACUCAAAGCACCCAGAAAACUGCUGCUGCUGCCCAUAUGAAAAAGUCUGGCUACCGGAUGACCCACCAUGGAAACUGCCACCCGAACCAUACUGCCCAGACUGCUGCCUACCCAACUGACUCCUAGCAGGUCUCCUGUGACGUCCUCUAACCCUGAACCGAGAAUUAGAACCUGAUCCCCCACUACUGCCACUACCAGCUGAUGAACCUGAAGCGGAUGAUGAAGCAGCUUUCUUGGAUGGACCCUGACUGGGGCCACCGAAAUCUCGUGGCCGAGCACUAUAAAUCCCCAUAUAGACUCAAUGGCCAUGGCUGCAUGAACAGCAUCAGAGAAAGUCGGGUAAUAAACACCCGUCAUCUUAUCUGCAAACACUCCACCAAGUGCCCCAAUAAACAUCUCCAUCCUGGUCCUCUCAUCAGGAACCAGAUAUAACACAUGAUAGCUCAGGGAAGUGAAUCUCUCCUGGAACUCUAUAACACCCUCAUCAUCCCUCUUCUUCAUAUUCAGGAAAUCCAACUGAAUUCUGCUGCGGUGGGCAGGACUGAAAUACUGCCCCAAGAAAAGCGUCUUAAACUGCUCCCACGACAUAUUCAGAGCAUCCUCAACAUUCCUGCUAGCAAGCGACCACCAGUGAUGUGCUGAAUCAUCUAGGAAAGUCACUGCCAUCUUCACCUUCCUUUCUUCUGGCAAAUCUGUGCUCGCAAAAGCCUUUUCCAUUUUGUCUACCCAAGUAUAAGCAUCGAGGGGUCCCUUGGCACCCUUGAACUCUCUUGCUCCAGCCUCAUAAACCUCUCUCCUCUUCACUGUAUGAGGGUGUGGAGCUCGAUCCAUAACAUCCCUCAACAUAUUUCCAAUAUCAUCAACCAGUCCCCUGACCUCAUUGCCCUCAUCGGCAUUGGUCGAAGAAGCCACACGGGGUUGCCGUGGGCGCUUAGGAGGCAUAGUACCUGAGGAAGAAGAAAUUUAGUAGUCCAUAAACAAGACUAACACAACAAUCACACAUACCCAAUAACACAUAGCAUCAAAAGCAUAAAAUGCCAAUGAAUCCGCCGCGGUCGGAUCAUCACUCUAUAGACACUACGUGCUACUUAGGCAAAUAUGAUAGUGACAAGGAAGCAGGAAAAGGAAACCUAUAGCUCUGAUACCAACGGACACGACCCACCCCGAAUUUCACCCUGAAACCCAGAGUAAGUCAUGCGAGGACCACCUCCAAGGAAAAUUUACUGAAAAGAUUGAGAAAAUCUCCCUUGAAAAUGGACAACCCUAACUCGAAAAUUCCAAAUUACACUCUUAAUACAACACGUCCAAACAUCACAUAAUUAUCCUUCAGAAAUUCUAAACAUAAUAUACAAUAAUCUCAAAGUAUUCAGAGCUACUAAACACUAGCGGAAGCAAGAAAACACUAGUAGGUUAAACAGGUAACCUACUGAUGAAAACUGGCGGAAAUGCGGGUGACUAUGCCUCGCCUCCUACUAGAUCCAACCCGAACUCUGCAGACUGGGCAAUUUAAAACGAAAGGCCCAGGAGAAAACAUUUAAUAACGUUAGAGUGAGUGGACAAAAAUAAAAUAAUAAUUAAAAUAUUUAUGUUUCCCCAAAUUAAUUUCUAAGGAAAAAUCGAAUGCAUGCCGCAAGCGAUAAAACUUUUAUCUCAUAAAAUAUCGAGCCUCUCAGACUCNNNN